GACGUAGGGGGCCAGCGUUGUUCGGAAUUACUGGGUGUAAAGGGUUCGUAGGCGGUGCGGCAAGUUGGGAGUGAAAUCUCUGGGCUUAACCCAGAGGCUGCUUCCAAAACUGCUGUGCUUGAGUGUGGGAGAGGCGCGUGGAAUUGCAGGUGUAGCGGUGAAAUGCGUAGAUAUCUGCAGGAACACCCGUGGCGAAAGCGGCGCGCUGGACCACUACUGACGCCGAGGAACGAAAGCUAGGGGAGCAAACAGG
rnacentral:rRNA from 1 species